rnacentral:tRNA from 2 species
GCGACACUAGCUCAGUUGGUAGAGCGUAACCUUGCCAAGGUUGAGGUCACGAGUUCGAACCUCGUGUGUCGCUCCA